rnacentral:rRNA from 1 species
UCGAGGGGCAGCACGGUGUAGCAAUACACUGGUGGCGACCGGCGCACGGGUGCGUAACGCGUAUGCAACCUACCCAUAACAGGGGGAUAACACUGAGAAAUUGGUACUAAUACCCCAUAAUAUCAUAGAAGGCAUCUUUUAUGGUUGAAAAUUCCGAUGGUUAGAGAUGGGCAUGCGUUGUAUUAGCUAGUUGGUGGGGUAACGGCCCACCUAGUCAACGAUGGAUAGGGGUUCUGAGAGGAAGGUCCCCACAUUGGAACUGAGACACGGUCCAAACUCC